AUUGAACGCUGGCGGCAGGCCUAACACAUGCAAGUCGAGCGCGAAAGUUCUUCGGAAUGAGUAAAGCGGCGGACGGGUGAGUAAUACAUGGGAAUCUGCCUGGUAGUGGGGGACAACGUUUCGAAAGGAACGCUAAUACCGCAUACGCCCUACGGGGGAAAGGGGGGGAUCGCAAGACCUCUCGCUAUCAGAUGAGCCCA
rnacentral:rRNA from 1 species